rnacentral:rRNA from 1 species
GAUGAACGCUGGCGGCGUGCCUAACACAUGCAAGUCAAGCGAUUCUCUUCGGAGAAGAGCGGCGGACGGGUGAGUAGCGCGUGGGUAACCUGCCUCACACACAUGGAUAACAUACCGAUAGGUAUGCUAAUACAAGAUGAUAUAAGAGAUUCGCAUGGAUUUCUUAUCAAAGCUACGGCGGUACGAGAUGGGCCCGCGUCUGAUUAGCUAGUUGGUAAGGUAACGGCUUACCAAGGCGACGAUCAGUAGCCGACCUGAGAGGGUGAUCGGCCACAUUGGAACUGAGACACGGUCCAAACUCCUACGGGAGGCAGCAGUGGGGAAUAUUGCACAAUGGGCGAAAGCCUGAUGCAGCAACGCGGCGUGAGCGAUGAAGGCCUUCGGGUCGGAAAGCUCUGUCCUCAAGGAAGAUAAUGACGGUACUUGAGGAGGAAGCCCCGGCUAACUACGUGCCAGCAGCCGCUGUAA